AACGAACGCUGGCGGCAUGCCUAACACAUGCAAGUCGAACGAAGGCUUCGGCCUUAGUGGCGCACGGGUGCGUAACGCGUGGGAAUCUGCCCUUUGGUUCGGAAUAACAGCUGGAAACGGCUGCUAAUACCGGAAGAUGACGAAAGUCCACAGAUUUAUCGCCAGAGGAUGAGCGCGAGUUGGAUUAGGUGGUUGGUGGGGUAAAGGCCUACCAAGCCGACGAUCCAUAGCUGGUCUGAGAGGAUGAUCAGCCACACUGGGACUGAGACACGGCCCAGACUCUUACGCAAGGGAGCAGUGGGUGAUACUGGACAAUGGGGUCAGUGCUGAACCAGCUCUGGCGCGUGAGUGAUGAAGGCCGUAGGGUUGUAAAGCUCUUUUACCCGGGAAGGUAAUGACGGUACCGGGAGAAUAAGCCCCGGCUAACUCCGUG
rnacentral:rRNA from 1 species